UUAAAUUGCCCAUAGGUGUGAGAGUGAUUGUCUCUAUAUGUCAGCCCUGCGAUGAACUGGCGACUUGUCCAGGGUGUUACCCGCCUUCACCCGUUAGUAGCUGUGAUACGCUCCAAGCGACCCCCGUGACCCUAGUGAGGAUAAAGCGGGUUCAGAAAAUGAAUUUUAUGACAGCUUCAAUCAAUGAGUUAUUUAAUUAAAUCCUACAUUAUU